UACGAAGGGGGGCUAGCGUUGCUCGGAAUCACUGGGCGUAAAGCGCACGUAGGCGGAUUGCUAAGUCAGGGGUGAAAUCCUGGAGCUCAACUCCAGAACUGCCUUUGAUACUGGCGACCUUGAGUCCGGGAGAGGUGAGUGGAACUGCGAGUGUAGAGGUGAAAUUCGUAGAUAUUCGCAAGAACACCAGUGGCGAAGGCGGCUCACUGGCCGGUACUGACGCUGAGGUGCGAAAGCGUGGGGAGCAAAGCGGG
rnacentral:rRNA from 1 species